rnacentral:rRNA from 1 species
GACGAACGCUGGCGGCGUGCCUAAUACAUGCAAGUAGAACGCUGAAGGAGGAGCUUGCUCUUCUGGAUGAGUUGCGAACGGGUGAGUAACGCGUAGGUAACCUGCCUGGUAGCGGGGGAUAACUAUUGGAAACGAUAGCUAAUACCGCAUAAAAUUGAUUAUUGCAUGAUAGUCAAUUAAAAGGUGCAAUUGCAUCACUACCAGAUGGACCUGCGUUGUAUUAGCUAGUUGGUGAGGUAACGGCUCACCAAGGCAACGAUACAUAGCCGACCUGAGAGGGUGAUCGGCCACACUGGGACUGAGACACGGCCCAGACUCCUACGGGAGGCAGCAGUAGGGAAUCUUCGGCAAUGGACGGAAGUCUGACCGAGCAACGCCGCGGGAGUGAAGAAGGUUGUCGGAUCGUAAAGCUCUGUUGUAAGAGAAGAACGAGUGUGAGAGUGGAAAGUUCACACUGUGACGGUAGCUUACCAGAAAGGGACGGCUAACUACGUG